rnacentral:rRNA from 1 species
CCGCCCGUACCGUAAACCGACACAGGUAUGCGGGGAGAGAAUCCUAAGGUGCGCGGGAGAACCCUCGUUAAGGAACUCGGCAAAAUGUACCCGUAACUUCGGGAUAAGGGUAGCCACUGUUGUGAAGUCCCAUGCGGAUGGAGCAUAGAGUGGUCGCAGAGAAGAGGCCCAAGCGACUGUUUACCAUAAACACAGGUGCCUGCUAAAGCGAAAGCUGACGUAUAGGUGCUGACACCUGCCCAGUGCCGGAAGGUUAAGGAAGGAUGUUCGGAGUAAUCCAAAGCAUUCGACUGAAGCCCCGGUGAACGGCGGCCGUAACUAUAACGGUCCUAAGGUAGCGAAAUUCCUUGUCGGGUAAGUUCCGACCCGCACGAAAGGUGUAACGAUUUGGGCACUGUCUCAACGAGGGACCCGGUGAAAUUGAAAUACCUGUGAAGAUGCAGGUUACCCGCGACUGGACAGAAAGACCCCAUGGAGCUUUACUGUAACCUGACAUUGGGUUUUGAUACAUUACGUACAGGAUAGGUGGGAGGCUUGGAAAGCUGGACGCUAGUCUGGCUGGAGCCGACGUUGGGAUACCACCCUUGAUGUAUUGAAAUUCUAACCGCGAGAGUAACGAAAUCCGGGACAGUGUCAGGCGGGCAGUUUGACUGGGGCGGUCGCCUCCGAAAGAGUAACGGAGGCGCCCAAAGGUUCCCUCAGCGCGGCCGGAAAUCGCGCGAAGAGUGUAAAGGCAGAAGGGAGCUUGACUGCGAGUCAAACACGACGAGCAGGUACGAAAGUAGGGCUUAGUGAUCCGGUGGUACCGAGUGGAAGGGCCAUCGCUCAACGGAUAAAAGCUACCCUGGGGAUAACAGGCUAAUCUCUCCCAAGAGUCCAUAUCGACGGGGAGGUUUGGCACCUCGAUGUCGGCUCAUCACAUCCUGGGGCUGAAGUCGGUCCCAAGGGUUGGGCUGUUCGCCCAUUAAAGUGGUACGUGAGCUGGGUUCAGAACGUCGUGAGACAGUUCGGUCCCUAUCCAUCGCGGGCGCAAGAGAUUUGAAGGGGGCUGCUCCUAGUACGAGAGGACCGGAGUGGACG